GGGAUUGUGGCUCAGUGGCAGAGUGUUUGCCUAGCAUGCAUGAGGCACUGGGUUCGAUCCCCAGCACCA
rnacentral:tRNA from 1 species